rnacentral:tRNA from 1 species
GACAGUGUGGUGUAGUGGUUUAAGUGUUGGACUACCACUCUGGAGACCAGGGUUCGAAUCCCCACUCAGCCA